rnacentral:rRNA from 1 species
GUAGGUGGCAAGCGUUGUCCGGAAUUAUUGGGCGUAAAGCGCGCGCAGGCGGUUCUUUAAGUCUGAUGUGAAACGCCCACGGCUCAACCGUGGAGGGUCAUUGGAAACUGGAGAACUUGAGUACAGAAGAGGAAAGCGGAAUUCCACGUGUAGCGGUGAAAUGCGUAGAGAUGUGGAGGAACACCAGUGGCGAAGGCGGCUUUCUGGUCUGUAACUGACGCUGAGGCGCGAAAGCGUGGGGAGCAAACAGGGAUUAGAUACCCUGGUAGUCCACGCCGUAAACGAUGAGUGCUAAGUGUUAGGGGGUUUCCCGCCCCUUAGUGCUGCAGCUAACGCAUUAAGCACUCCGCCUGGGGUAGUACGGCCGCAAGGCUG